GUUCUGUCUGACAUGAACUUUCUGUCUGAGGAUUUAAUAUUGGACGUCCUUGCUGCUGUUUAUUUAUUAUCUUUUAAGAGCGUUUAAGUCAACGGGACAAAUGGCAAAUCAGCCUAAUUAUUCGAACCACUGUGACGGUUAAACAGAUGUUUCAAAUUUAUAAAGAAGAGCCAAAUGGUGCCUAAAGGAUCGUACCAGCCGUAAUGUUUGAGCCCACAAUAAACUGUUAGCGUACAUGUUGCCGAGUCCCAGUUGGUUCAGCUCGGUGUGGAAUUAAAGUCACGUUGUUGUCGUUCUUUCGGCUGAACGGACAGUGUGUAUGUGUGGGGCCGCGGUGAUGUCACAGCCUUUUGUCAGUACUGCAAAUUUGUGAAAUUAAACUUGAAACUGUUCAGAACGGAUCGAAACCUUUGCAGCACCCCUGUUUCAGAACAUGAGUUCUA